rnacentral:rRNA from 1 species
GAUGAACGCUGGCGGCGUGCCUAAUACAUGCAAGUCGAGCGAACGGACGAGAAGCUUGCUUCUCUGAUGUUAGCGGCGGACGGGUGAGUAACACGUGGAUAACCUACCUAUAAGACUGGGAUAACUUCGGGAAACCGGAGCUAAUACCGGAUAAUAUUUUGAACCGCAUGGUUCAAAAGUGAAAGACGGUCUUGCUGUCACUUAUAGAUGGAUCCGCGCUGCAUUAGCUAGUUGGUAAGGUAACGGCUUACCAAGGCAACGAUGCAUAGCCGACCUGAGAGGGUGAUCGGCCACACUGGAACUGAGACACGGUCCAGACUCCUACGGGAGGCAGCAGUAGGGAAUCUUCCGCAAUGGGCGAAAGCCUGACGGAGCAACGCCGCGUGAGUGAUGAAGGUCUUCGGAUCGUAAAACUCUGUUAUUAGGGAAGAACAUAUGUGUAAGUAACUGUGCACAUCUCGACGGUACCUAAUCAGAAAGCCACGGCUAACUACGUGCCAGCAGCCGCGGUAAUACGUAGGUGGCAAGCGUUAUCCGGAAUUAUUGGGCGUAAAGCGCGCGUAGGCGGUUUUUUAAGUCUGAUGUGAAAGCCCACGGCUCAACCGUGGAGGGUCAUUGGAAACUGGAAAACUUGAGUGCAGAAGAGGAAAGUGGAAUUCCAUGUGUAGCGGUGAAAUGCGCAGAGAUAUGGAGGAACACCAGUGGCGAAGGCGACUUUCUGGUCUGUAACUGACGCUGAUGUGCGAAAGCGUGGGGAUCAAACAGGAUUAGAUACCCUGGUAGUCCACGCCGUAAACGAUGAGUGCUAAGUGUUAGGGGGUUUCCGCCCCUUAGUGCUGCAGCUAACGCAUUAAGCACUCCGCCUGGGGAGUACGACCGCAAGGUUGAAACUCAAAGGAAUUGACGGGGACCCGCACAAGCGGUGGAGCAUGUGGUUUAAUUCGAAGCAACGCGAAGAACCUUACCAAAUCUUGACAUCCUUUGACAACUCUAGAGAUAGAGCCUUCCCCUUCGGGGGGGCAAAGUGACAGGUGGUGCAUGGUUGUCGUCAGCUCGUGUCGUGAGAUGUUGGGUUAAGUCCCGCAACGAGCGCAACCCUUAAGCUUAGUUGCCAUCAUUAAGUUGGGCACUCUAAGUUGACUGCCGGUGACAAACCGGAGGAAGGUGGGGAUGACGUCAAAUCAUCAUGCCCCUUAUGAUUUGGGCUACACACGUGCUACAAUGGACAAUACAAAGGGCAGCGAAACCGCGAGGUCAAGCAAAUCCCAUAAAGUUGUUCUCAGUUCGGAUUGUAGUCUGCAACUCGACUACAUGAAGCCGGAAUCGCUAGUAAUCGUAGAUCAGCAUGCUACGGUGAAUACGUUCCCGGGUCU